CGGAGGAGUCCAAGCGUUAUCCGGAAUCAUUGGGUUUAAAGGGUCCGUAGGCGGUCUAGUAAGUCAGUGGUGAAAGCCCAUCGCUCAACGGUGAACGGCCAUUGAUACUGCUGGACUUGAAUUAUUAGGAAGUAACUAGAAUAUGUAGUGUAGCGGUGAAAUGCUUAGAGAUUACAUGGAAUACCAAUUGCGAAGGCAGGUUACUACUAAUGGAUUGACGCUGAUGGACGAAAGCGUGGGUAGCGAACAGGAUUAGAUACCCUGGUAGUCCACGCCGUAAACGAUGGAUACUAGCUGUUGGGCGCAAGUUCAGUGGCUAAGCGAAAGUGAUAAGUAUCCCACCUGGGGAGUACGUUCGCAAGAAUG
rnacentral:rRNA from 1 species